rnacentral:rRNA from 1 species
UGAAACAAGGGAAAACGUUGGCAGCAGUAAAGAAUUUUAUGCAAUAUACGAAAGUAAGACAUAGGCAGAACCUUUUAACCUGUCAAAUUAAGUGCCAGCAGACGCGGUGAAACUUAAGGGUUUGUUUUUUAGAAAAAGCAGAAAGCGUGUAAAGGUAAAACAUUUAAAAUAAAUAGAAUUUUUUUAGUAAUAGUGCAAUAUUAAAAGAAAAAAAAGAAUUUUUUAUGUGAAGACAAUUUAUUUUUUUUCUUUAACACGAAGGUUCUGGGAGCAAACAGGAUUAGAGACCCUGGUAGUCGAUACAGUAAAAGAAAGUCGCUUGAGUAGUACGGUCGCAAGAUUAAAAUUCAAAAAACUUGGCUGUUCAUUGUUAUUUAGAGGAGCGCGUUGCUUAAUUCGAUAGCCCGCGAGUUACCUUACCAAAACUAGCUUUUUCAGGUGUUGCAUGGCCGUCGUCAAUUUAUGUUUGAUACAAUAGAUUAAACCCUAGAAAGGUUGAAGUCAGGUAUUAUUGCCUUUAUGUUUUGGGGUUAGAUGCGCUACAUUUUUUUUUUAAUAAAAAAAAAGAGUUCGGAUUGUCUUUAAAAGAGGAUGAUGAAGGGGGAUUUAAUAGUAAUUGAAAAGUAGAGCGUUUCAAUGAAUUUGCCGCAAUGUUAGUACAAAUUGCCCGUCGCCUCUGCUGAUGGAAACAAAGUA